CUCGGCUGCUCAGAGCGCUCCCCGCCGGCGCCGCCCGUGGCCCAGCGCACCCAGGUGCCGCAGCCGCUCUGGCUGCAAAGAGGCGCCCAAGCUGUGUUUCCUGCCUGGGCAAGGAAGUGAAUAUCCAGAUCACGAUGCAGUAAGUAGGCAGGCGAAGCAGGCUGCUGCUCGAGAGUCUUCAGUGAAAAGCAUGUGUUCCAAGCUGCACGUACAUGUAACCAAACGCUAUGCUCUGCACAGGAUGAACCACCUUCAGAUGGUCACAACUUUGUUAAAUUAUAACUAACUUAUUUUCAACCCCAGUAAAGACCUUACUCUGCACGGAGGUCUAUUCAUCUGCUGAGUGUCCACUUCCGUAUUUCAGUCAUUUUUGUGUUCUCGAUUGUAUUCAGGUUGAAUUUAAUUGUAUUUUUGUAUUUUAUUUGAAAAUAAAAAGUAUACCAUAUAAACUUA